GCCUACGGCCACAUCACCCUAAAAGUGCUCAGUCUUGUCUCAUUUCGGAAGCUAUCUGGGGCUGGGCCUGGUUAGUAUAUGGAUAGGAGACUGCCUGGGAAUAUCAGGUGUCGUAGGCU
rnacentral:rRNA from 1 species